rnacentral:rRNA from 1 species
UACGAAGGGGGCUAGCGUUGCUCGGAAUCACUGGGCGUAAAGCGCACGUAGGCGGGCCUUUAAGUCAGGGGUGAAAUCCCGGAGCUCAACUCCGGAACUGCCUUUGAUACUGGAGAUCUUGAGUCCGGGAGAGGUGAGUGGAACUCCGAGUGUAGAGGUGAAAUUCGUAGAUAUUCGGAAGAACACCAGUGGCGAAGGCGGCUCACUGGCCCGGUACUGACGCUGAGGUGCGAAAGCGUGGGGAGCAAACAGG